ACACCAGUAUUUUUGUAUGCAUUUUCUCUCCUACACCCCUCACUGAAAAGUGAAAGACAUAACAUAUUCAAAUGGCAUAUUAUGACAACUUUAUUUCAAAACUGGCCAAUAUGUUUUAAUAUACAAUGUUAUAUGGUUUAAAUUCAAGACCAAUACAAUUACAAUGAUAUUAAUUUAAAAGUACUAAAAUGUAUCAUGCAAAAUUUCAAACAAUAAUGAAGUUAAAACACACAAUUCAUACAUAAACAUGCCAAGCUGAUGAAACUACGCCAAUAUUAAAUAUAACAAUCUCUAGGGGUAUAUGAAUGAUGGUUGUUGUGCCAAUGUGAUCAUCUCCUGUUUAUUGAAACGCAUUUCAUUUGUUGGACCUAAAAAUUUGGAGAGUCAAAUGUUGUGCAAGAAAACCAUCCUCGAAUACUUACCAACAAACAAAUCUAUCAGGUAAAUUGCAUGUGAAAAACACAAUAGUGAGCCAUGUCUGUUAUGUAUCCACUUGUUUUUGACUUGCCUCUGUGAAAAACUGUGUAAUUAACCAAAACCGUUUUCUAUUUGCAGUUCCCACUAAUGACAUUUUUACUUCGAAUGUUACGAAAAUAAUAUUAUGUUUAGAAACAGUAAAAAUUGAUCCGUAUUAUUAGUGAAACGAUGAAUAUUAUUUACUUUCAUCUUGUGAUAACGACCACAGCGUAUGACGUUGAUAACGAAGUUUCUCCUAGGUCCU